AUGGUUAAUUAUAUGUUAUACUCAUUGGUCGAUAGGACGGCCGGGCGGCUGAAUUUCAGGACUAGUUUUCGUUGCUCACUUUCACCAUCUCGUUGCAACUUCCAAGAGCCAAUGCACUGUCGAUAUAGUGCCCAUUUCACCAUCCCUAGUGUAGCUCAACAACCAUAUACGAGUACAAACAAACAUCAUGUGCAUGCCUGGUCAGUCGCACGUGGAGUGAUUUGUUCGGUCCCAGCUAACAAACCGCACCAAAUCAAACCAGGACUUUCUUCCUUCAAAAUCUUGAUGUUGUUUAUGUGGAGCCUUUUUGUUCGUGCGGUAAUGUUCUUUAAUGGGAAUAGGUGCGGGGCACGGGACCCUUUAUAUUUAUUAAUCAAAUAUCAUUUUCAGACAUGUUUUUUCUUCAAGUUCAUGAUGUGA
rnacentral:rRNA from 1 species